UUUGUUCACUUUGUGUUUGCUUGAGAUAUUAUUAGUUACUUUCCUGAACCGGUGUCACCAAUAAAAAUGCGUUUUAACAUCUGUGCACUGCUCCUCAUUUAUAAGGCUCGACUGCAAAACUGUGAGAAAUCUUCA